GCCUUUUGGCCUUUGCGUGUUGACUGGGAGAAUUUGGUGAAGCCGUCCACAACAUUCAGAACAAUACGAAGGUUCCGAUUCGUUCUGACGUGGAAAUUAAAUCGAUAUGUAGAAUAGUUUGAAUUAAAUUAAUAGUGGAAAAUAAACAGUGUACGUGCAUAAUAAUAGUUUCAUUUUCUUAUAUAUACAUCACUAAUCAUAAACACUUAAAGACUGACAAAAUUUGAAAUGUGUAAGAGCCGCUAUAUAGAUGUAAGAUUUUUCUUUAUUUGAUAAUUUCAACUUGUUUUUUUCUUGUUUUGAUCUUCUUAAUAGUGCAAGGCUAGUGGGUGUACUUGUUGAGCUGCC